rnacentral:rRNA from 1 species
UACGAAGGGGGCAAGCGUUGUUCGGAAUCAUUGGGCGUAAAGCGCGUGUAGGUGGUCUAUUAUGUCGGGUGUGAAAUCCCUGGGCUCAACCGAGGAAGUGCAUUCGAAACUGAUAGACUAGAAGAUGGUAGAGGAAGGUGGAAUUCCAAGUGUAGAGGUGAAAUUCGUAGAUAUUUGGAGGAAUACCGGUGGCGAAGGCGGCCUUCUGGGCCAUUACUGACACUGAGAAGCGAAAGCAUGGGGAGCGAACAGG